GAUUCGAUUUGGGUCAACUGAAUACUCAGCUAAGACGUCAGGCUGCAAAAAAUGCUUUGUAGCACGAAGAGCAUCAUGGAAUUGCUCAGGGAAGCACACCUCUGGUACCAGCCUGUAUCUACAAAAGAAGAAAAGAGGUGGUGCAAGAGGGGCAGCAAAGGGCGAGCCAAAGGACUGUUGGGACUCUGAUGCAGAGACUGGCCCCUAAAAAUAGUGCACUUUAUAUAGCUCCUUUGAGUUUCUAGAGGUCAAGUGGCAAUGAAUGUACAAUCACCCACAUAUUCUCCAGAACCUUUACCACAGAAAUGAUGAGUCCACUAUGGCAGAACUUGUUCCAGAUCUACGGGAAACCCGGCCCAUGGCAGGGGGUGUGGGAAGCUGAAGACCUGGCUGAGAAUUCCUUUGCGAGGAUGCAACAAAAGGAGAGCAUGGGAAAAAGCCGGUAAGGGUUAUCCUGGAACCGUUGAAUGGUGAUGAGCUUUCAAGGUCACAGAAGGACCUCAGGUUAGGUUUUACUCUGUCUGUAUGUCACUGAUGCCGUUGCAUAAUAUAAAGCGCAGUUACUGUAUGACUAAUACUUGGCUGACUGAGGUGUCAAAAUUGAAACGACCGCCUUGACUUCCGCGCUGCUAUUGAUACCUUUUCCUUAAGAAAAUAAUCCUUAUUUAUGUGUACCUCACCAGCAAAUCUUCACAUAAACAACACCUGCUACCGUCUUUAUUUGCGUUUUCCUCUUCUACUUUCUUCCAAAUCAU